AGGGUGGGAACUAAAAUGGCAUCUGGAAUUCCAUGGGGACUGGUUUUGGGGUGGAACACUAUUAGGCCAAGAUGGCAGCCCCCUUAAGCACACAGUGUUUACAAAUCAGACACAGGUGUGUAGCGGGAAUGGUUUUGGGUGAUUGGCACUUGAGGUGUAGAUUAAUUAGACACAGGUGUGUAGCGGGAACGGUGGGUUCGGUGAUUGGUACUUUGGGGGGGGGGACUGGGCUUUUUCUAGUGUGGCCACUCUCAGUCGUGGCGAAGUAGCCUUUGGAGAAGGACGUGACAAGCAGCGGAGCUGGAGUCCCAAAGAGAGGGCGAGCUACAGACGACACGACAGCAGCGUGUGAACGCUGAGUGUGAGCCGCGGCCAAAGACUUCACUCGCCUCCAGUUAUCAAGCCUUUCGGGCAAGUCUGCCGGUCUGUCCAGGCGCUGUCCAGGCCGAUGUCCGAGGGGUGGAGACGUCCACCCCUCACAGAGCUAAGUACCCGUUUUCUGUCUACCCUCUGCUUGUUGCUGUGCGGUGAUUACUGCUAUUGUUCCUGAGCCUACCCUCUCUUCUCCUGCAUUAGAGGCGGCUUACUCGCCGGUUUCCAAGUGAGCUACGGACUACACUCGCCUCCAGUUAACAAGUGAGCUACGGACUACACGCCUCCAGUUAUCAAGUGAGCUACGGACUACACGCCUCCAGUUAUCAAGUGAGCUACGGUGUACACGCCUCCAGUUAUCAAGUGAGCUACGGACUACACGCGACUACACGCCUCCAGUUAUCAAGUGAGCUACGGACUACACGCCUCCAGUUAUCAAGUGAGCUACGGACUACACGCCUCCAGUUAACAAGUGAGCUACGGACUACACGCCUCCAGUUAUCAAGUGAAGCUACGGCUUACAACUCGCCUCCAGUUAUCAACUGCCACUGGGACGCAGGUCUGCUGACGGCGGGACCUGUUCCGAUCGGAGGAGCCGACCACUGGGCAAAGUUGCUUCCGCUGACUUGGCCGCCGGCUCGUUGGGGGUGCUGGACAUUCGAACACUGGGAGGGGAGCUCAUUUGGUCGAUGGGACUUUUAGCAUUUAGCACUUUUUAUACGUAACUUAAUAAAAUACUGGUUUUUAAUAUA